AAUCGUCAGCAACAUGCAAGCCAAAUAACAGUCGCAGAGACAUAAAAUGACACAUGUGAGUGGUUGAAAGAGGAGGAAGAGCAUGAAAGGCAUAACAGACAACAAAACACAGGUACAGGUCGAGGAUAGAAAACUGAAGUGACCCAGAGACAAACCAAUACUGAAAGAUAAUAAAUCACAGCUACACAUGCUGACAAACUGCACAGGGAUUCCUCUGUUUGGGUUCUAAAUGAGAAAAGUGCAGAAGACAUCUAGCGGCUUUAUGCUCUCGACAAUUUGCAGCUAACUGAUUAAUCACUGCUGAUGGGCCUAAUCCGAGUGUAAACAUUCCCAAACUACACCAAACAGCUGAAGCCAGAGAGAAAAUGUGCAGCUUUUGAAAUGCAGAGAUUUGGCUCGGAUUCCUCAUACUUGCAUUAAGCCAAUUAAUUCACAUGCUGCACAUCAAAAUUAUAUUAAUACUAAUGGGAUAAAUCAGCUGUAAACUCAUGGGAUGCAAGUAAAAUUAAAAACCUAAUCGGUCUAUGUAACAGACGGAGGAGUUUGCAUUGAUGGCCAUGACAUAAUAGGUCACAGUUUCUCUAAAACGAUACACCUUUUGAAAUACUUAAGCGGGAUUACAAACACUGCUAAUCAGUAGGGGUGAUGGGUUAUCCUGUUGGGUAAGAAACGGCUACAGCAGUAAAAACUAAUCUUCUAUUAUCCCCACUACAGAACAAACCUGUGUCUUCAGUGAAAAAAUGAAAAAUGCCGUCUAGGGACAUAAAAGAGAAGAAAGGCAAUCAGAAUCACUUGUCUGCACAAAUGACCACCUGAAUCUCUAAUAACACUUCACUGAAGAAUUCAGGAAGACACAUUUCUGUCAGAUGGCUCCAGAAAGGAAGAAAAACAAAUCAUUUUAGGAAAUGAUUGCCACAUUUAAAGUAGGGAGACAGAGCCAGCCUCCAUGAAAAUGAAAGGCCACUUUACUGUCUAAAAAGGUAGCUUGAAGUGAUGUUUUUUGACGGUAUUUUAUGUAAAUAUUUCAGCAAACCUCUAUCACAUUUGAUAUUUCAGCAAACUUAUAUGACAUUUGUUCAGUUUUAUCAAUUACUACGACAAAAUAGGACAAAAUUUUAAUGAUCUGGCCUUUAAUUAUGAUCUUAGUUCUAAAAAAAAAGAGGAGGGGUUUAAGGCCAACUUUUGCCUUUGCCAUUCAAUAACAACAUAAUUUAAUAGCAAUAUAUAUACACAACUAUAAAGCUAUCUUUUUAAUGUUUUUAUUAAUGCAUUUUAAAUGAAUCACUUACUUUUGUAAGUGUGGCCUGAUGAAUACAACAGACAGAAGAGCAAAUGGAUGAAAAAAAAUCAAUGAUUAAAAAUGAUAAAAUAGGAUGAGAGAUGAUCAGUACACAGACAAUCUAUUAAUCAUACCAGCACUCCCUCAAAAAACAUCCAUUGCCAAACAACAGAGGGCGCUAAAAACUAAAUAAUGUGUUGAGGUUUCACUGCAUCGCUGGCUUCUACAGAAGGAUGAAAUCACACUUCAGGGUUUGCAAGUCAAUAUAAUGACAUGAUGGGCUUGAAACAUGGCUUUAAAACAGGAUAUCUGAAGCAACUGUGCAGAUGGCUCUAUAUGAUACCUAUGUGAUGAAAUCAGUAUUUAAUUCUAUAUGUAAAAACAAGCAAUCUGGCUUUAAAGAUUUGGUUAUGGCAUAAGUAUUUCAUAAACUAGAAAAAUCAAAUAAAACCAAGAAGGUCAGAGAGCUGCUUCGUAGAGACGGAAAAGCUGUUUUAAAAAGACAAACAUGGAAUGAAAGGAGACAGGUGAAAGCUUUUGUGACAUCUUCCAAACAGUCUUAGGACCGACUCUUCAGCGAGUUUUUAUAGAGAGACUGAAGGCUCCGUCUUCAAGAACGCAGCGUUGCAGCUUUCACCUUCACCCUUGCCGUUGACGGCUGACAACUUCACUUCGUAGCUCGUGUCUGGCUUCAGGCCUGUGAUCGUUACCUCACCGAUGGAGCCUGUUACAACAGCAGAUGCAGUGCAAUCCCAGUUGAAAACACCUUGAUCAUUUUGGAGACAUUUAGGGGAAACAAAAACCAGAGGAAAGGAGCCAUUAUUACCACUGCUCUUAAAACUCUGUCCUACCACAUUGUACAGGGCAGAGAUGUGCACUGUGUAGUCUUUGCUAUGUCUGUACGGAAACACAAAAGACUUUCCUGCCUUCACCGUGCAGGUGAAGACCCACUGCUGUAUCUGU